rnacentral:rRNA from 1 species
CUUUAGGUUGGGCGACCGGCGCACGGGUGCGUAACGCGUAUGCAACCUACCUUUAACAGGGGGAUAACACUGAGAAAUUGGUACUAAUUCCCCAUAACAUUCGAGAAGGCAUCUUCUUGGGUUAAAAACUCCGGUGGUUAAAGAUGGGCAUGCGUUGUAUUAGCUAGUUGGUGAGGUAACGGCUCACCAAGGCAACGAUACAUAGGGGGACUGAGAGGUUAACCCCCCACAUUGGUACUGAGACACGGACCAA